CCAUCGCACUGGGCUCUUCUCAGUGAUUCUUAACACAUAUUAGUAACUAAAAACUCAGGUUUCUGAAUAAAAAAGGUCCAUUUAUUUGCAUCAGCUUGCUGUGUGGCAGACAUACUCACUUCUGUUCCCAGAGCACACCUUAUUCUAUCUUCCCAGUUUUGCUCCUGUCACAAUGUGAGUUUGCUGAUUAACGCUUCCUAGAAAGAGAGCAGCUUUCCUUCCUCAUUUCCUUACCUGCUUUUGGAAAUGGUUUUUCGGCACUCCCCUAGUGUCACCCUAGUUUCUGACAUACCUAAAUCCUUUCUGCUUCAAGCCCUCUUGUUCUGUGCAGAAUAGCCCUGUGUAGGAGACUCACAAAUGUUCGGAUAGCAGGGCUUGCGUAAUUAUCUGUCAGUCAUAGUGUCUGCUGGUUCCCUCCCCUGCUUGUUCUCCAUUACAUCCCUGGCCUCUGCUCCAAGCCAAUAAUACAAAAACCUGUUAGCUUCUGAUAAUCAUCAUUAUCACAUCUUCUUUGUCGUUGUCGUCAUUAUCAUCAACAUCAUCAUCAUCAUCAUCCUUGCUUUUUUCCAGGUUGUUCCCACAUCAUUUAGGGAUGACCUCAGCCUAGGUAAACUAUAGUUCAUGGUUUACUUGGCAACAGAAAAAUGGCAGUAUCCCAAGUACAUAGGAUUGAAGUUUGGUUACUUUAUGUCAUUCUCUUGUUUCCCUCAUCACAACAUUUGUUUCUCUUUGAAGAUCCUGUUGACCUAGGUGGAGCUCUGCUCCCUGGAGACCACCACUGCCAUCAACUCCCCCGCCCGACACACACCCAGAGUUCCUUUCCUUUCUCACUCUUGUGAUGCCUAAGUUUUCUGUUCCUAGGGUGUAUUUCUUCUCUUCUAAAAUCCAAUUACGUUGUACCUUCUCAGGAAUUCUUGAGCCAUGCAUUCCAAAAAGACAAGGUGCUCUAGGUCUUUGUUUUUGUGGCCAUCCGCUGAUUUACAACCCAGAUGUCUGUAAAUACUGAGUCUAGACGUGCCUGGAGCUGGGAUCCAGUACCACAGCUAGGUCUUCCAUGUGGGUGACAGAAGCCCAGGAACUUGAGUCACCACCGUUGCCCUCAGGGUCUGCAUCAGCAGGAGCCGGAGCAGGGAUUGGAGCUCAGGCACCCUGGUGUGGAACCUGGCUGCCUUGAACAGUAGGUUAAGUGCCUGCUCCCAGCUCUCUGUGUGUGGAUGGUGUAGCACCAUCUUGAGCGCUAGGUCAAGUCCCAGCUGC